rnacentral:tRNA from 1 species
GCCUCGGUGGCUUAGAGGUAUAGUACUUCCUUGGUAAGGAAGAGGUCGCGGGUUCAAAUCCCGCACGAGGCU